AUAUAGCUAUAGAUAUAGAUAUGGGUUGUGUCUACUGCCUCUUGUUUGUUCUCUCUGUAUCUAGAUAUAGAUAGAGAAAGAGAUAUAUAUGCCCCUAUUCAUUUAUGCCAGCCCCAUCCCCGGAGGGUCUGAACACUCUUGCUGCCUGCCAGGAUAACACUGUUUAAUAAGCCUGAGGUUGCAUUAACUUUACCAGGUAAUCACUGCUGGACCAGGGCAGCGGGUAUGAAGUGAACCUCCCCGUGUGCCCCCUCCCCUGCCAGUCCAGUCCUUGCUUCCGUGCCUCUGCCCAGACCUCGAACAGGCAGAGAGGAGUCUGUGAGGUCUGAAGGCAGCUUACCCAUGAGUGAUGGCUUACCCCCUCCUUCGAGCAGGGGUGGGGAAUCUGUGUGUGGAGGGGUCUUUUGGAGGCAUCCUAACCUCCGGCUGCAGACGAGGUGUUUGCACAAGAGCUGUGCUAGCCAGGCACCAGCGAGAGCGUGCCAAAAGCCCAGCUCACAGAGAUGUAAUCCCUGCCCAGGAGACAGAGGAGAACAAUGCAAGCCACGCUGCAGCCCCAGCCUGGCUGCGCCUGGCAGAGCUCUGCUCCCAGCACGGACAGGCGCCGAUCGGGAAAGGGCCGCGGGAACGCGAUGUGCUUGGUGGGAGGGAACCGGGAUACCGAUCUGGAGGAAGCUGUGCACACAUCCCUUGUACGGCCUCCCCGUCUCACCCAGGUCCGGCCCCACACAUAGACGAGGGGCAGGAUGUUCCUUUCUACCGGUGCAGCUUCUCCUGGUGCAUUUGCUCCUUUCCUGGUGCCCCGACAAGGCUGGGUGGCUGGCAGAGCAAGCAGAGAGUCUUUAAUAGCAUCAAGCCAUGCAAGCUUCAUAUGCACACGUCUGGCAAGGGCUCUUCUGCCUGCAUUCUCCAUCCUCCCAUUGUCUCCUCUUCCUCGGCCUCUGCAGACACCGGAGAAGCCGCUCACCCUUGGAGGAAAGGGUCCCCUGGACUCACAGUAUUUCCUCUGCCCAGUUACCGCCAAGGCGGAUACAAUGUGCUGAAGGCACCAGACGUAACCUGCUCCUUCCGCGCGCUCCCCACCCAACCCGCUUUCAGACCAAAGUCGUGUCCAACAGCUUGAAAACUUCCCUGCCGUUAACACGGCAUCGGGCACCGGAGCAAGGCCUUUCCCGCGCCAAAGUCAACAAGGGAUUCGCAGAGGUGUUGUGGAACGAGAGUGACUUGCCGCCGAGCCCGCAAGGAGAUUUACUGAAGCCGUUUUCACUGAAGAUUGUAAAACUCGGGGCUCUGCGGCUUGGCUGUUAAAAUUUGUUUCAGGCUCCUCCAGGUCCUGGCUCAGGAACCGGGAGGGGAUUUUCAUUUCUGGGUUGCUCUCGAUGCAGAUGAAGCUGGUCCUGCAUCUCCCUCCAGCCUCCUCUUCAGACCCAGAGGAUGUAUCUAACUUCAUCGUAUUUAACUUCAUCGUAUUUAACUUCAUCUGCUUCCUCCGAGCUCCCUGCUGCAGCGGAGGGGAGGGGACACGGCCGCACGAUGCACUCUUGAGUCUCUGGAGGCAUCUCCAGCCACCCCCGGAGAGGUCUGCAGCAUCCUCAACCUAGGGUGUGAGGGACUGGGCAUCCUUCUUCCCCGGGGCACCCCUGGGUCUCCAGGCAGGACCCAGUGACAGACGUGAAGUACUUUAAACAAGUCUGGAGGCAUUUCAGCCGGGCUGUUUUAAAUGAAGUGGAAGCUGUUGAGUCCAAGUGAUUAGUCAUGAGCAUCGUUUAAUUGCUUCUGAUAUGUAACGAGAAAAUGGAAAAGCUUCCUUGGAGUAUUAGCUCAAGGCGGAUUAAGCGCCCUCUCAGCUGAGAAGCGGCUCUAUGCAUUAUUCUGUGCACACCCACACCAAUGCACACACCCACGGGGCACAUGGGGUAGCGACACGCCAGCUACCCAUGCGUGCCCGCUGGCAGAUCUGUGCACACACAGCAGCCCCGGCACAGGCCACGUACCCCGUCCAAUGCUCAAAGCAAACGUGCAUCCAAAAGCGUGUCUGUUGUUCUGCACGUCCACACACAUAUAAGGUGUGACCUCCUAUGCUCCUCAUAUGCACCCCUGUGACUCAUCCCGCUCGCACCUACAUACCGAGUCAUGUACCUACGUGCUCAGCCAGGCUCAGCUGCAUGUUCCCAGGGGGGCAAGCGGGACGGCAGGGUGACUCCCUUCCCUGAAACUAAAGCUCGACUUCUACACGUCCUCCUCGGUGUCUCCCUGCUGCACAUGGCAUGGGUGGGAGUCAGGGGACAAGGAACCAGACCUCCCCAUGUGCCCCUGCCAGCACACAUGCCCCUGCCCAUCAGACACCCCUCCGCACACGGACGUGCCGGUGAAAAGAAGAGCUCAUGAACAUUUCACGCCGGUUGCUUUCCUGGGGCCCGUUCGCCCGGUGCUUUCCAAAGCACGAAGCAAAACCAACCCCUCCAUCAGAUGCUGAGAUCAGAGGCUGACACGAGUGGGGCUUUGGUGCCUGCUGGUUUGCGCUGGUUUUCAUCCGAGCGGCAGAUGAAGCGAUGGGAGUGCGGGCUGGAGGGGAUGCUAUCAGAGCCCACACCCACUGCCCUGGCCUCCUGGGAAAGGAGGAGGAGGAGGAGGAGGAGGAGGGAGGGAACGCUCCCAAACUCUUUAAUCUUCCUGGACGGUGCCUCAAGCUGCUGGUUAGAAAUGCAUGCUGGGCUCGGAGGCCCCAAAAGACACAGGAUAAAAAAGACUAGCUCAGCCCAGCCCUUCCUUCCCUGCAUGUGUGGUAAUACUCCAGCCUGGGAGCCAAGGGGAAAGGAGGCAGAGGCAGGCGUGCUACAGGCAUUUGCUUUAUCCGGAGAUGGGCCGAGGGGCCUGGACAUGGCAGCGGGGAGCAGGGUUUUCUGCAGCGCCCGUGGCAGAGACGUGGCAUCCAGCACAGAGGCAGGGAGGCAGCAGGGACGUGUAAUGCAGACAGCGUGCCCGGGGGCAUCGGAGAGGCGGCACACGCAGCUGACACACGUGAUGUGUGCAGGGUUAGGGCGCCGGUGUGCCUGGCUUCAUGCAGGAAUGGCCCGCAGCGCAGGAGGUGCAGAAUUGCACCCAUGCAUCCUGCACAGCCCAAGCAAAGCCCCUCUGCAUUUCCUAAACCGGAGCACGACCUACCCAUGAGGGUUACAGACUGGGACUCACGGCCCGUCUUUGCCCAAACCAUGUGUCCGCCCUCCCUUUCAGCUGCUUGCUUACCCUUAGCUCUUCCUUCCUUCCUCCCUCCUCAUGCCCUUUCCCAGAGACCCUUUUCCCCAGAUUCCCUCUUUGCUCUGGAGCCCAGACUGCAGCCAGUGCUGCCAGGCAGCAGCUGGGCUAAACUAGCUGCCUUUCCCCUCUGCCGGUUAAAAAAGACUCCAGCGAAAUGGUGAACCCAAGCCCAGCUAGCGACAGGUUUCACAGUUCCCAGCCUGGGCCAAACUCUGCAGCGAGGGAGCAAGCCAAGCCCUCCUCCGUGCCAGCAGGAAGUAGGAACGGAGCGGGAAGGAGAUGGGAAUCGCAGGCACCUGGCAGAGGCAGCAGCUCCAGGUGGGUGGCAUGGCUUGCUGCGUGACUGCAUGCUGAGCUCCCAGGUCCCAGGCGGGCCCCAUGCAUGGAGGGCUCUUUUCCAGUGGUCCCAUGUUCCAGCUGCCCUUCCUCUUCGCGGAAGAAAUGAGGCCUGGCUUGCUCUGGGCUGGCCUGUCAGGAGCCUUGUGAUCCAGCAUCUGUCGCCUUGACCUUGCAGUUCUCAGUCCCGGUCCUCUCUCCCUGUCCCCUCUCUGUACCGUCUCCCUAUCUCCUCUCUGCCUAGGGCAGGAGCAUGCGGUACAACGUUCUCCUUAGCACUGCAGAGGGCAAUUAUUGACUGUUUUCACUUGUUCUCCAUGACACUAAUGAGAUGUGGCUGUCACAUUAUGCCACUCACAUUAUGCCUGCUGCCACCAGCAUGGGGAGCUUUCAUCCUCCCUCUCUUUCAGCCAAAUGAAGAUGUUGAGGCCGCCGGUUCUGGGUUUGGCUGAAGCCAGGUGGAAGAAAAAGAAGUCCUUCCAGGUUUACUUACAAGGAUUCGGUUUCUAGCCAGGGCUCUCUGCGAAUAGCGACUUCAGCCAGGGUUGUCCAAGCUCCUCGGUUUAUCCAGAUGUGCUCACGUGACACCAAAGACUUCUCAGAGGGGGUUCGGUGCACGAGCUUUCUGUCCGAUGAGCAUCCUAGCAAGCUACGUGGAGCCCAGAUGAACCAAGUAGCUUUCUGCCCCUUCUUGUGGCAGAAGAAGCCUGUGUUUUGAGAUCCCCACACCUCACAUCCGUCUCUGGCAAGGGUGUCAUUACAAUGGCAUUAUCCCAUGGGGUGGAAGGUGCCCACCUGCUUGACAGCCCUGGAGGAUGAUGUCUUCCCUCUGUUUGGGGAAAGAGUACAGAUGUGCCACUGCAGCUACUCAUUCAUUCAUAGAUUCAUAGAUGUUAGGGGUUGGAAGGGACCUCAGAAGAUCACUGGAUCCAGCCCUCUGCACCAAGCAGUAAAGACUAAUGGUGCAUCCCUGUGGACCCCCUUCUAGUGAGGAGAGAAGCAGGUCACUCACCGCAUCCUCAUCCUUGGUCUUGCCAUGGACACCGUCCCCUUAUCAGCUAGAUCUGGCAGCUGUAAAAACACCAUCUUGCUCCUGGCACCAAACUGAACCCACCCCAACCCGAAAUGCUUCUGCCGAGAAACUCUCUGAUCCUCACAGCUCCGAGACACACAGGCCAGGCAGACGGACAGAGAUUCAUUCAAGUUUAAUCUGCCACUCUUUUAAGUGUGUCCAUAGUUUUAAUGCACCUUGGCUGAAAAUGCAGGGAUUAAUAAUAGAGGAGGGUUACUUGGAGUCUCAAGUUUCUUGCGUCUCCAAGAGAAAUAUGGAUGUGCGCUUGGUGGGAUUUUUGUGUGCAUUUUUUUGGCAGAAAGGCCAAAGUAAAUCCCAUGGCUGCUAGAUCCGCCAAGUAGGAGGCGGCAAGGAUCUGCAUGCACUUUGCUUGCCUUUACGUCCCAUCUGGAUCAGCACCCUUUGUUAGGCAUCUAGGGAGGAGACCCUCGGCCUUAUUCCAAGAGCCGAGUCUCGUCCGUGCCAUCUGUAACCAUCAGAGUGCAACAGCGCUCUCCCUUAUGAGCGAACCGUAUGUUUUUCCUCUAGACCGGCUAGCAGGGAGGAAGCAGGAAGCGCAGGAAUCUGUGAGCCUGGGCCUUGCCACCAGGCUGAACAGACGCCCCUGUGCAUAUUGCUCUGGUAUUUAGCCUGCAGACCCCUAAGGCUUUUUUUGAGGCCCGAUGAGGAAGGUCUGAGCCAGCAAGCAAACACAUUUCUGCAUCACACUUAAACGGGAGGAGGUGGCUGAGCAACCCUGCCUAGUGCAUCUGGGGAACUGCAAACCUCUCUGUUUGAUUGGGGAGGGGUCUUUAUUCCUUUGUCCCUUGUGCAUGUCAACAGCGAGUGAAACCGUCUUGUAAUGCAAGGAGCUGCAAGCAAAGGAGAUGCUCCCAUGAAAAGGGAAGAUAAGGCUGAGCAGGAGGGAUGAUGAUACAGGAGGCCAGCUGUGCUCCUUCUAACCCAGGGAGGGGCAGAUGUUAACCUCGGUUGUACCAAGGCACUUCUGGAAGAGCCCUGCUGACUUUGCUGGAGCUGCUUGGGCUUGCCACAGUCUCAUGAUGGCUUGGUCUUCACGGCAGAGUUAAUUGGUAUACCUAUAGGAUGCCAAAAGAUCACACCCGCUUGUCAGUGUAACUCAGCCAGCUCUUUCUGCUCUGCAUAUGGAUGCAGCUGUGCUGGCAGAGGAAGCUUCAAUUGUGCGGGGAGGCUGGCAUCGAAGCCAAGAGCCCCAUGCCACCUAUGCACUAGGGCAGGGGCAUAGGUGCUGCAAGGGGCCUGGGCGGUCUCUGUGUGUAGCACGCAGCAGAUCGGGGGGGAACAGGGAGCACGGUGGCAGGUAGGGCAGGGAGCAGAAAGCAGAGCAGCAGACCAGGCAGGGAAAGGGGGUCAGGGCGGCACCUGUUCUGACUCGAGGUGGUGGGGGGUGGGCAGGAUAGGUGAGGCACGGUCCCAGGAUGAGGCGUGAGCCGAUGCGGCGUUAACGUGGGCUACCCAAUCCCCAAUCCCUCGCUCUCGCUCUGUCUCCCGCCUGCCUCGACCGGCUUUUUUCCCUCCUGGUCCUCCUCACCUCUUCCUGCCGCAUGGCGCUGGGCGCAACUUAAAUCGCCUGCACGGCGCGCGCUUCGCAGCCAUAAACACAGCUCCCUUCUGUAAAGCUUUUUGAGCUGCAUAAAUGAAGAACUGCUGAAAUCUGGAUAAACACACGAGGGCUGUUGUAACUAUUGGCAUUGGCCUGCGUUCGUCAGCGAAGCUGCCAAACCCUUUAAUGAGGAUGUACUUACCAGCCUAGCCCUGAGUUACAGCUUCGGUGAAAGCAGAGGGUGAUUUCAUUUUUUUUUUCCAGGGUAAUUAAUAAUAUCGCUCUGGCUGGCAGCAAACGAAGAGCCAGCAGAGGCGAGAGCUUAAAAUAAGGAAAAGUUAAACGGCUUGACGCUGCUAACCUUUCCAUGCCGGGGCCAAAUAACUGACAUGAAUCAGACGUGCAGAAAUCUAUACGUACAGGGGGAGACGUUUCUAAUCUAGAUGAUUAAAAACCAGCCUGUUGCAGCUAUCUUUUAACGUAACGUCUUCUGGCUGCUCAAGUGUUCGAGCCUGCUUUCUCAGCCCGCUCAAUUAAAAGAGCGCUUUAUAUUCCACAGGCUUAGAGAUGACUUUUUUUUCCACAAUUAAUUAGGAAGCAGCUAAUGGGACCGGCUGGCUCGGGGGGUUUGCAGCGGGAUGUCAUGUCUCUGGCUGCCGGGGGCGUGUUUCAGCUGGCGACGGGCUGAGUCUGGUGGCUUACGUGAAAUGACCUGAUGGGCUCAUGCAGGAUCCUAGUGGACAGGUGCCCACAUCACAGAAACCACCAUCAUACUUGGCACCGAGGGGCAGUCACGGCCGAGUGGCUGAGGAAUGAACGGGCCUGGAGACAGAUCUGUGCUUUCCAGAGCUGCCAAGGUUCAGCUGGGGUCCUCAGGGAGACUUAUACAGGGCUGGAGUUGUUUAACGGCAACCUGGUGGCUUGUCAAGAGAAAAUUUUUGCACCCAAUGAGGAAAUCGUAUAAAUGUAACACUGGAAUUUAAUUUAAUAUAUAACACACAUGUACACACAGGCAUUACACGCCAGAUGUUUCAGAGCUAGCCAGCGGCUUUGCCACCAGCAAGCUAUCGAGGGCUCUGUUUUGACUCUGCCAUUGCGGGCAGACUCGUUCAGUGUUGCUUGAGCAUCCAAGCACUAGAUUUGCACCUGCUAAUUUGCUAUUUAGUCAUCUGCAGGACCUUCAUUAUACCUGAAACAUUGCAGGCACAAAAUCCCCGAGUGAGUGUAAGGCCAGGCUGUGAUGCGGCCCUCUCGAAACAAAAACAUUCGUUCCCCGUUACCCAUAUCCCAUUGCUUUUGAUCAUGUUGCUCUGGCAUUUUAAAUGGCAUUUCCUCCCAUCUGUUGCACAUUAACAGACAAAGAAGGGUGGGGAGUGGGGUGAGGGGGGAAAAACCGGAUUCCCAAGAAACGCUGCUUUGGAGAAGGCUUGGAUUGAGCAAGCGGAUCCCCCCAGCAGGACCGGGAGAGAUGGCACUGCGGCUUGCUAAAGGAAAUAGUUGUCCACCAGGCUGCAGAGCCUCUCCCUAGGCACAUGCAUGUGUUAUUUGAAAAUAGAGAGCUUUUCCGCCGUGACUCAAGCCUUCGUGACAACAGCACCCGGCAGCCCCGGGCCUGCUCCAUCAAGCCCCGGAGCCGAGGACGCUGGCCAGCGGAGGACAAGCCGGUGGAGGGGCACGUGCGCAUUAAUCCCCCUCGCCAGAAGCUGCUUUCUCCCUCUGUCCUCCUCUCCAUCUCCCGUUUCUAUUUAUCCCUCUGCAGACUGUAGCAUCUCUUCUUCCUCAGCCUAUUUUCCCCUUUAACGUGAUAAGGCCUUUCCCUUGUUUUAAAGCAAGGCUCCUCCCCAUCUAUCUGACCCAUCUCCAGUCCUCGGCGCUCCCAAAAUGGUCAAAAAAGCCCUGGCCAGAGGACUGGCCUGAGAUAACGUGUGAGGUCGGCUCUGAGCAGGACUCCCCCAGCCCCACGAGGAGCAGCACGGGGCUGCCGAAGGAUGGGCAGAGCCGCGGAGGUGUGGGGCGCUGGCAGGAGCUCAGAGGAGCGCGUGUGGGGGGACCGCUGGUCGAGUGGCAGGCUGCCAGCCGAGGUGGCAGACUUGGCGUGCCCACCGUCCCUCCUGGAGGUAUCCCUGGGCGUCCGGGAUUGAGGCAGACUGGUGACAGGCAAGGAGGGCUGAAGUUUGCAGCUCUGACAAAGAAACCCAUUCUCCCGUGGCCAGGUCUCAGGGUGCUGUAGUGUGCUCCCUCUUCCACACCAGCUGGCCCCUAGGCCAGCACUUUCCUGCAGCUUUGCCUCUCCCUGGCAGAGCCGGGCACUCGUGGAUUUGGGGUUUCCGUACGGUGGCAGAGGUGAGGCUCAGCCUAUUCCCCUGUGCUUUAAAAGCACGGCACAGGAUCCACGUAGGAAGAAGCAGCUGCUACUGCAGCGAGUGGCAGCUUGGCUAUACCCCUGACUGCUAGCAUUUGUUCUGCUGGGGGCGAGGUUGGCCAUGGCGAGGUGCACCACGGACUUUGGCUUCCACCUACCAAUUACAGAAAUAAAAGUCUGAAGGGACUCGUCUGCUCGGACCUCCCGGCUACCACAGGCCUUUCAGCUUCACCCAAAUACCUCGGGUCAAGCCCAAAGACACUGGUUGCAUCAAGUAUUUCCGACCUCAAGAAGCUGAACUUGGUGCCGCAGGUAAAGAUCAAAAGAGACCAAAGGACAGCCAGGAAUUGAUUCCUUGAGAUGCAUCCAGGCGAUCCUCAAAGAAAACCUCCAACAACCACUCCUUGACUAAAAAGACAUGCCAGCAUGGAAACCUCUCGGCUCGGCGGUGAGACCCACUGAGGACGGGCAACCAAGCCAAGCCAAACCAAACCAGCAACUUCAUGGUGUUUUCCGUCUCAGGACGCGGAGCAAUGGGCUCGGGCUGCAGCGAGG